rnacentral:lncRNA from 1 species
UUCACACCGAGAGAGGUGUGGGGCGUGUGCGACGAUUUCGCCGCAUGGGGCUAAACCAUUGACGUGGCGUGUGUGAUGAUUUCGCCGCCGGAUGGUUAUGCCGAUUUGUGGAUUAUACCGCCGGGUGACUUGAGCCAUUCUCGUGGUGUGUGCGACGAUUUCGCCGCCGGGUGGCUAAGUCAUGGAGCGCAGUAGGCUGUGGUUGGCUGAGGUGCAUGUGAGAGUUCCUUCACCUCGAGCUGGACAAAGCGCGGAUUAUCUGCAGUUGAUUGACUCGAGGUCGAGUCUUG